rnacentral:rRNA from 1 species
UACGGAGGGAGCUAGCGUUGUUCGGAAUUACUGGGCGUAAAGCGCGCGUAGGCGGCUUUGUAGGUUAGAGGUGAAAGCCCGGAGCUCAACUCCGGAACUGCCUUUAAAACUGCAUCGCUUGAAUCCAGGAGAGGUGAGUGGAAUUCCGAGUGUAGAGGUGAAAUUCGUAGAUAUUCGGAAGAACACCAGUGGCGAAGGCGGCUCACUGGUCCGGUACUGACGCUGAGGUGCGAAAGCGUGGGGAGCAAACAGG